CCUACGGGAGGCAGCAGUGGGGAAUAUUGCACAAUGGGGGGAACCCUGAUGCAGCGACGCCGCGUGAGUGAAGAAGGAUCUCGGUAUGUAAAGCUCUAUCAGUAGGGAAGAAGAUAUGACGGUACAUGAGUAAGAAGACCCAGGUAACUACGUGCCAGCAGACGCGGUAAUACGUAGGGGGCAAGCGUGAUCCGGAAUUACUGGGUGUAAAGGGAGCGUAGACGGUGAUGUAAGUCUGGUGUGAAAGGCGCGGGCUCAACCCCCGGACUGCCCUGGAGACUGUGUGACUGGAGGACUGGAGGGGGGAGUGGAAUUCCUGGUGUAGCGGUGAAAUGCGUAGAUAUGGGGAGGAACACCAGUGGCGAAGGCGGCUCCCUGGACAGUAACUGACGUUGAGGUUCGAAAGCGUGGGGAGCAAACAGGAUUAGAUACCCCGGUAGUC
rnacentral:rRNA from 1 species